AUGUGACCUCAAAUCA
rnacentral:rRNA from 6 species